GCACCGGCACCUGCACUGGCACUGGCACUGGCACUGGCACGCGCUAUGGCAGAUGAAGUGCAAGUCCUGCCCUCCCCGCUGAAAGGGGGGCAUCCGCCCGCAGUAAAAGCUGGAGGGAAGCGAAUUUCAAAAAAACAAGAAAUUGGCGUCUUGGAGAGACACACCAGAAAAACAGGAUCUGAGAAAACAAGUGCUAUUGUGAAUGUUGCCAAAAUACAGACGAUGGAUGCCCUGAAUGACACACUGGAGAAGGUUCUGAGGUCACAGCUACCCAAGAUGAAGCUCAGCCAUAAAUUUCCAGCAAUAUUGCACACGGCACAUCAAAAACCCAGACCUGCUCUGGAGAAGGUCACUCCAAUGAGAAGGAUCUACAUUAUUCAACAGCCUCGAAAAUGCUAAGCUGGGACGUAAAACACAGCCAUCUGCCCAACUGUCUCCAACAUCUGACAGCUUAGCACAAGGACCAAAACUUCCCUUAGGCUUGGUGCACUUGCUUGGAGCAGGCUCAGCUUGGAGUCAGGAACAAAAGAGAAAGGUCUGUAACCUGACCACCUUACCACUGUUGCCGAUGGAAACAAACAAAUAGAUAUG